UACGUAGGGUGCAAGCGUUGUCCGGAAUUAUUGGGCGUAAAGAGCUCGUAGGCGGUUUGUCGCGUCUGCUGUGAAAACUCGGGGCUUAACUCCGGGCCUGCAGUGGGUACGGGCAGACUAGAGUGCGGUAGGGGAGAACGGAAUUCCUGGUGUAGCGGUGAAAUGCGCAGAUAUCAGGAGGAACACCGGUGGCGAAGGCGGGUCUCUGGGCCGUAACUGACGCUGAGGAGCGAAAGCAUGGGUAGCGAACAGG
rnacentral:rRNA from 1 species